GAUGAACGCUGGCGGCGUGCUUAACACAUGCAAGUCGAGCGAGAAACUACAUGCAGACACUUCGGUAGAAGCGAGUAGCGGAAAGCGGCGGACGGGUGAGUAACGCGUAGGCAACCUGCCCUUCACAGAGGUAUAGCCUCGGGAAACCGGGAUUAAAACCACAUAAAAUCAUAGGUUCGCAUGAACCAAAGGUCAAAGAUUUAUCGGUGAAGGAUGGGCCUGCGUCUGAUUAGCUGGUUGGUAGGGUAAAAGCCUACCAAGGCGACGAUCAGUAGCCGACCUGAGAGGGUGAUCGGCCACAUUGGAACUGAGACACGGUCCAAACUCCUACGGGAGGCAGCAGUGGGGGAUAUUGCACAAUGGGGGAAACCCUGAUGCAGCAACGCCGCGUGAGGUAUGAAGGCCUUUGGGUUGUAAGCCUCUGUCCUAGGGGAAGAAAAAAAAUGACG
rnacentral:rRNA from 1 species